AAGCCCAGCAACUCAAUCUUUGUAAUGUCACACCACAGCUUUUAUCAAAAUGGCCCUUGAACAAAUCAUUUUCAUUGUAAUCACAUCAGGCUUCUUAGGAAUUAAUGGUGACAUUAAGCUUCAAGAGUCAAGUCCUGUAACUCUACAGCCGGGUCAGUCACAUCAGCUGUCCUGUGAAGCCUCAGGGUUUACUUUCAGUAGCUAUGCUAUGUACUGGAUUCGUCAGCCUCCUGGUAAAGGACUGGAAUGGUUGGCAGUAAUCAGCUAUGAUGGUAGUUAUCUGAAUUAUGCAGCAUCUGUUAAAGGACGAUUCACCAUCAGAAGAGACAAUGCCAAUAACAUGGUCUAUUUAAUGAUGAACAACCUGCAGACUUCAGACACUGCUGUGUAUUACUGUACUAAAAAUUGUGCUCCCCACAGUGAGAUAAAUUAA